GCUUCUAUAGCUCAGUUGGUAGAGCGCGGCACUAGUAAUACUGGCCUCCUGGCCUCAAAACUAGGCCUAUGCCGAGGUCUUCGGUUCAACUCCGUCCGCCAGCC